rnacentral:rRNA from 1 species
GAUGAACGCUAGCGACAGGCCUAACACAUGCAAGUCGAGGGGCAGCACGGUGUAGCAAUACACGGGUGGCGACCGGCGCACGGGUGAGUAACGCGUAUGCAACCUGCCUACUACAAGGGGAUAACCCGUUGAAAGACGGACUAAUACCCUAUAACACAGGGAAUCCGCAUGGAUAUAUUUGUUAAAGAUUUAUCGGUAGUAGAUGGGCAUGCGUUCCAUUAGCUUGUUGGUGAGGUAACGGCUCACCAAGGCAACGAUGGAUAGGGGAACUGAGAGGUUGAUCCCCCACACUGGAACUGAGACACGGUCCAGACUCCUACGGGAGGCAGCAGUGAGGAAUAUUGGUCAAUGGACGAGAGUCUGAACCAGCCAAGUCGCGUGAAGGAAGACGGCCCUACGGGUUGUAAACUUCUUUUGUAAGGGAAUAAAUAGUCUUACGCGCUAAGACGUUGCAGGUACCUUACGAAUAAGGAUCGGCUAACUCCGUGCCAGCAGCCGCGGUAAAGUC